ACACGUGGGUAACCUGCCUGUAAGACUGGGAUAACUCCGUAAAACCGGGGCUAAUACCGGAUGGUUGUUUGAACCGCAUGGUUCAAACAUAAAAGGUGGCUUCGGUAACCACUUACAGAUGGACCCGCGGCGCAUUAGCUAGUUGGUGAGGUAACGGCUCACCAAGGCAACGAUGCGUAGCCGACCUGAGAGGGUGAUCGGCCACACUGGGACUGAGACACGGCCCAGACUCCUACGGGAGGCAGCAGUAGGGAAUCUUCCGCAAUGGACGAAAGUCUGACGGAGCAACGCCGCGUGAGUGAUGAAGGUUUUCGGAUCGUAAAGCUCUGUUGUUAGGGAAGAACAAGUACCGUUCGAAUAGGGCGGUACCUUGACGGUACCUAACCAGAAAGCCACGGCUAACUACGUGCCAGCAGCCGCGGUAAUACGUAGGUGGCAAGCGUUGUCCGGAAUUAUUGGGCGUAAAGGGCUCGCAGGCGGUUUCUUAAGUCUGAUGUGAAAGCCCCCGGCUCAACCGGGGAGGGUCAUUGGAAACUGGGGAACUUGAGUGCAGAAGAGGAGAGUGGAAUUCCACGUGUAGCGGUGAAAUGCGUAGAGAUGUGGAGGAACACCAGUGGCGAAGGCGACUCUCUGGUCUGUAACUGACGCUGAGGAGCGAAAGCGUGGGGAGCGAACAGGAUUAGAUACCCUGG
rnacentral:rRNA from 1 species